AGGUCUGAGCUGCUGCGAAAUUUCUCAAUCAAUCUGGAUCAUGGAAGGGCACUUCAACCACAGGUCCCCUUCUGUUGUUUUUCCACCACCAGUAAUUAUAAAAAACAAAAAAUCUUUGUUGCCAGGAUACUGGAGGAUCCUGUAUUAUCUACUGCUCUGGAUUUUCACAAAAAAUGAGGCUUAUCAUGCACCCAGAACCAUAAGAUAUUUUUAGAGACGGAACGAUCUUGAAAAUCAUACUGCCUAUAAUCUUCACAGGCAAGAAAGUCAGGCUUGGGGCAAGUGACAAGCCCCCAGGACUACAAAGCCCUCGCUCAACACUCCACGUGGCCUCUGGAUGACAGGACAGCUUGCCCUCUGCUUUGUAACACACAAAACUCUAAAAUGCAGGAACUUGACCGUGUCCACCUGGCUAGCAUCUCCAGCUGAGCCUUUCCUGGGGGGAUCUCCAGCUCCUGCCCAUCGUGACCCAGGGGAUGACAGAUUUGGUGCAGACUCUGUCCCAGCAGGUGUCUGGAAGAGGACGAAACAGAUUUACUUGAAACUUACGUGCCUCUGGGAGAAAGGCUGGAGGGCUGAGCCCCACCCCGCCCUUUGUAGAUCGGCCCUUAUCCUGCCCCAGAGGGCGAGUGGGCAAGCCUCCUGAGGACUGCUCUCUUGCCUCACAAGGAUCAAAAGACAGACGUGAUGUCGACUAUCACCCCAUCUUCCAGAUGAAGAAGCUGAGGCUCCCAAGAGGGAAUCAGCUGCUUGUGGUCACACAGUAUGUGAUCAACAGUGCCACGAGUUCAACCCAGGUCUUUCUGACUCCAGUCAUACCCAGCAUAGUGGAAUGACAGAGUCGAAACCCAGUAAACUGUGGGAGGGGAAGAGGAUGUUCUGGUGGUUUCUGCCUGGGCACCACGGAGGACAGAUGGCAGUGGGUAAGUCGGGGACAGGCAGGUGGGAGGAGGACCUUGGAACUAGUUUGGCUGGGAGCCAAAUGAAAACUUGACACCAACAAAAUACCAUGGGGUGGUGUUGACCAUCUGUAAUUAGAGCUACUGGCCCAAGGUUUAUGUCAAAGAUCGGGAGCUAGAAGUGUCCACGUGGUACAAAGGGAAGAUGUUUGUACGUAUAAGCAGGGUAGGAAAGCAAGGUGCAAACAGAAUUAUAGGAGCAUGGCUUGAGAGUUUAGAACAUGCCAGGCGCUGGGCUAGAUGCUUGUCAUGUCCUUAUGACCACCUGGGCAUGCUCCCACUGCUAUCUUUUGUUUCCAGGUGAGUAACAGAAGCCUGGGGACAUAAGUAGCUCACCUAAGGCCACACAGCCAGUAAUAGUGACCUUGUACCUCCAGCCAAAGUCAGCUUCCCGAGGGCAUCUAUUAGACAAAUACAGGACGGAUUCGCCUAAGAGGGGUUACAAAGUUGCAUCCCGGGAUUCUAGGCUCCUUACAUCUCUCUAUUUGCUUAUCUGUAUUCGGUCUAUAGUGAAUAUGCACUAUUUUUGUGAUAGGAAAAAAGUUUUAAUAAAGCAAAGAAGUAGAAGUGUAAAUUGGUAGGCUUUUUGGAAGACAAUUUGCGGACCUGCAUCAAAAGCUGAACAUUUGGCAUAUUUUUUGGACCCAACAAUUCCAUUUUUAGGAGAUAAUCAAAGAAACAGGGGAAGACUUCUGUAUAAAGAUGUUGAAAGCAGUAGAUUAGAGAAAAACUGGAAAUACCUCAAAUAUCCAACAGUAAGGGAUAGAGAUAGAUUUGGGCUCAGCUAUACAGUUAAAUUAAAAACUAGGUAGCAUCAAAAUGGCUCCUGCAAAUUGGCAUGAGUAUGUGAAGAGUGCUCAUGAUGCGUUAAUGCACGAGGAAAAUACACCAUAAAGCAUUACCUACCAAUUAGUCUCAUUUGGGUAAAAAGUACAUUUAUAGGAAAACAUUCAUUAAACUACUCAGCUUUUAAGAGAAGUAUCGAUGCAAAUAAUGAUUCAGUUUUAAUUGUGAUAAAUGAUCACUGGAAGAGUGUGCACUGACUGUGUGUGAUGGGGAGGAAAUCCAGCCUAAAAUUAGCAGGUGGCGCUUGAAGGGUAAGAAUUGGAAGGAUAUACACCAAAAUGCUUUGUGACUUGAAUUUUUCUUUUCAGUGAUCUGUAUUUUCUAAGAUUUUUUUCCUACAGGAAAAUUGGAUUACUUGGGGAGAAAUAUUUCCUUUCAAAUAACUUUUCAAAUGAAAAGGAAAAAAACAAGUGUGGAAGUAAGGAAAAGUGAAGAAUAUGCGUGUUCACGGACUUGUGGAGGAAAGACCUUCCAGAAGAGAGUCAGCAGCAUUGGCUACUCUGAAAGACCCAACAGGAUGAAGACCAAGAUAAAGAAAGGAGGAAGCCACUGAUGACCUUACAUUUCCUAUGGGAAACAUUUACUUAUUGUUCUUUGUCUCCAGCCACCUUCCUCUCUCAGCCCAGACCCACAUUUUCCCUCACCUUCUCCUGGAUGUCUUCCCCUGGCUUUUCUGUGGAUAGUUCAAACUUGGCACACCCCAGAACUGCCUACUCUUCACUCCAGCCCCCAAUCAGACAGACAGACAGACAGACACCACACUCAUUCACCUGUUCUCCCCAUCCUCCUCGGUUACACCACUAUCCUCCCAAACUGAGUAUCAUUCCAGAAUCAUUCCCUCCCUCUGCCUAUGCACAUAUAGCGGAUCCUUUAAAUAUCUCAUUGACUAAUCUCUCCUCUCUAACCUUGAGGCUACAGCCUUAGUCAGGCCUUCCUUAUCUCUUAUCUAGACCAACUCACCACUACCCUACCUACCAUCCUCCUACUCCUAACGCAUCCUCCACACCUUCACGGACUCUGAAUGCCUUUGGACCAUUUGACUCACACAAUACACUCUGCUCCCAUCCUCCCCAGAAUCAAGUCUAACUUCUUUAAAAUCUUACAAAUAAUGAAACAAGGAACAUCUGUGUAUAUAUAACUCACCUUAUUCAUUCAAGUUAUUUCUUCGGGAUAAAUCCGAAAUUGAGCAGUGAUCCCACCUGCCUGCCCCCAUUCUUCUCCAUCGAAAAAAAUCUUAAUACUUGUGCCCUGACUCUGCUUGUUUUUUUUUUUUUUCUUCUCUUUUAAGUCAGGUCCCAGUUAUUUUUUUAUUGAGGGAAAAUUAUUUUAAUUUUAAAGCGGUAUGUGUUUAACCAUUUCCCUCCCUCCAGUUUUUUGUUUGUUGUCAUUUUGCUUUUACACACAUAUUGCUUCAGGUUGUAGAAACAUUUUUCUGUCAGGCGUUUCGUGAGUUUUUCAAUGCAGCAAUCUCUCCCCAGGGAAUUCUUUUAAAAAGCAGGGCAGGGUUGGAUGGGAAGUUGGGCUUACCUUCCUUUAGGUGCUCCAAGUUAAGAGUAAAAGAAAAAAAAAAUAAUGCCGAGAGUGUCAUCUAUAUUGUAGUGAGUAAUUCAUUCUCCCUAGCCUAAUGAGCCACUUUCUUUUUUUAAUAAAGAAAAAUUUAGUAGGCAAGUUCCCUGGAUCUAGAGAUACCGCAGCUCUCCUUUGAACCGACUUUGAAUAGUUUGGGGCCAACUUUGGACUGCCUUGAAGUUUUCACAAGAAUAAAACCAUAGCUGAA